UGGAGGAAGGAACCGGCUGCCCUGCUGCACAUUCCGACUCGUCGAGGCUCAGGUAGGGUGCCAGACCUACGCCAACACUCAUGGCCCCGUUGUUGUAGCGCUAUUAUGUCAGUGAACCAAGUAUUCCGUUGAAGUUCAGCAGGAGAGAACGGAGGAAAUCAAAAAAAGCCUGGAUUUUCACUGAACGAGAUGGUGACAUGGACAAUGGCUGCCUCUUAUGUACUGGUGCAAGGUUGGUGCCCAUCAGGGUGAGUUUAUGAUGUCCAGGAACCUGCUAAUAGGGGCCAGGAAGGACCAUAGUCUUGGUAACCCAUGUCAACUGAUCUGAGUCAGACGUGUGGAGUUGGUGUAUGAGUGACGCCUCCUACAAAUGCUUUGCCUUCAACAAGUUCAGUCUUAAUACAAAUAUCGAACCCACAUUCAUCAUUCACUGGAGUGAGCUGGCCGUGGCACCAGAAUGACAUAGAAGAAAUGAUCAGUGUGGUGACAAGGUACUGGAGCUAAACCUACUAUCCGUGUACACUGUGGGACUGUCCUGCCACCACCACCAGCAUCACCACCAUCACCGCAUUCAUCAGAACCCUCAGGUCAUCAACGCUCCUCGCUAAAAGGAGUUGCCGUGUAAGAUGAGCAACACUCGUAGUACAAGGAGGAGGAGCAGUGUAAGGAAGGUCUGCGCCGCCACCACCGCCUCUUUAAGGAAGCUGUCCAUGCGCAGACGGACGGGGAGUAAAGGAGUGCACGAAGCGAAAAUGACUCCAGAAGCAUAAUUAGCGGCGCUCACCUCAGCUGGGUCGGAGCCGUGCAGCGGAGACACGAGAACCCUGCGUGGCUUGUCAUUACCUCAGCGACGGAGUAAAUAUUGUGAAUAGAGUCCGAGCAGGAGCACGUGUGGAAUGCUACUUUUUACUCUUAACAUGCGGGAGAGACAGAUCGGAUCCGGGAGAGGAGGUGAAGGCUACGGUCCACUACACAGGUACUCACACCGGCACGUAGGACUGAGCACUAUAAAGCAAGGCAUUAUAUGGAGAAUCAACUUGGAACUUGAGCACCCGAGGGUCACGCAGGGUCCGCAGUUCACCCGCUGAGACGCCCAGUGAUGGAUGGGUCCACCUUCAGUUAGUGGGUCAUGAUUAAUGCGUCGGGGAAGAAAGUUCGCCUGUUAUUUUUAAUUACGUCACCCCGAAAAAGGGAACAUAAUAUGGCAGACGCGGAACUGGAACUAAUGGUCUGCGAGAUGCAGCCUGCCAGCGCUGAAGGGCUGCCUGCGUGCUUGUGGGGUCACGGCGCUGCAAGUGUGGCUAAGCGUUCAGGAUUGCCGGUGACAUGUUUACUGUUUUUCCUCCCUUUUUUAUUAUUUAUCAUCGUUGUAUGUUAUGUGUUUGCCGCAGGUGAAUGGGUGGCUGCCACUGGGGCAGGUGGGAGGGUACAGGUGGGUGGGUACCAGCCUGUGUUGUGCAUCGUCAAUUGUUGUGGUGAAGGGACAUGAUAUACAGACAAUAGAAAACGUUGUUAACACCACAUUAUGUUGUUCCUACGGUGAUACCAAUCAUAGGAGGCAACUUUAUACCUGACCUUGUUUAGAUUCACUGCCCUGCCUGGACGUUUCACCAUGAAGAAAACUCACGCGGCAUUCUCAGCAGUCUUAAAGCACCGUAACUUUGAACAUUUCCCUUGCACAUCCGGAAAGAGGAGAUCACAACCAUCUUUAUGUGCGAGUUUUCCUUCAUUGGCAAGAUUCUGUUUUUUGCGUGGCCUGAGGCUGCGGGAAUAGUGCGUGCUGGUGGUCCCGAUGACAGUUGUGGGAGUGCUUCGUGGAGGUCGUCUGGGGGAUGCUCCUCCGCAACGCUGCCAUGUCCGACAUCCUGUGAUGCCUGUGAUAAUUAAUGUUCUCUUGUCGCGCGUGAUCCCCAGUGACUCCUUAAGCCGGCGGGGCCAUUCCCUGUGAUAGCAUUCGUGAUUUAUGGACGCGGGCGUGAGAAGUAUUGUUUCCGAGUUGUGUCUUUUGAACUGCCAGUCCGCACUUCACUGCCCCACUGACAAGUAAUUUGUUUCUUCAUUCCCUGGACAACAUUCCCCCGGUGUGCUGUCAGGGUGAUGGCAGCGUGGCGUCACAACAGCAUGGGCCUGCCUUCCACUGCAGCAACUCACAUCCGCUUUUUUUUUUACCGAGUGGAUGUUUGCUAAUCUGAUAGUGCACGAGUAUUAAAACCAUUACAUUCUGCGCUGCUGAAAAAAAAAAAAGCUGAAAACGGAAAUGUUUAUGGUAGUAAUAUAUUGCUGAAGACAGAGGACUGAAGCCUUAACGCACUGUGAAGUCAAAUCACUGUACCUUUAUUGAAGACUGACAGAACCACGACGACAUGUCCCUGGCCUGAUAGGUUCUAAUACCCUUUGCCGCUAAACUCUCAACACUGGCUACCGGAAAGGAGAAACAGAAAGUAAUUCCUCACAUAACACAUACAAUUCAACAAUCCUUUCCUGUCUUACGAUAUGCGUGGCCCAGUUAAGGAGGACAUAAUGUGCAUCAUCCCACUCCUCACCUCUACAUCAACAGUGACGUCUUCUGCUAAGUACUACAUCACUCUCACCUCACCUCUUCCGCUCUUCCACAGCCUCACCUCAUAAUGUCCAUUUUUUCCUAAGCUCGUGGGCCUCCAUGCACAAUCUGUUUUCCACAAAGCCUUUACCUCAUUUACCUUUUCCUCCUUACCUCUCCUCACAAGCUUCCCGCUCUCCUUCUUCCCAUCCAUUACCCCAGUACUCCACCUUCUCAAUCCUUUCCCCCUGCCUCCCCUUCUCCCCACCCACCCACGACGCGCCAGCCAUCAAUCUCGCCUCCUCCACGACGUGCUAAUGACGCCUUCGCCACGACUGCGCCACCUCCACCCUGACUCGUUCGAUUACCUCUUGACCCGACACUCUUGCCCUCGACACCGUCUCUCUCUCUCUCUCCCUUCCUCCCUCAGUGGAGCUAAUGGUGUGCUCUCUCUCUCUCUCUCUCUCUCUCUCUCUCUCUCUCUCUCUCUCUCUCUCUCUCUCUCUCUCUCUCUCUCUCUCUCUCUCUCUCUCUCUCUCGGCCUGAUCUUCCUUUCUUCCCCUGAUCUUACUAUUCCCUCUCCUGAUUCUUCUCUUCCCCUCGUAAUCUAGCUUUCCUCCACUCCUGAUCGCACUCUUUCCCUCUCAAUCUUACUCUCUUUCUUCUAGACCCACUCCCUUCCCUCCUGAUCCCACUACUCUCUUUUGAUUCCACUCUCUCCCUCUCUGAUCUUUCUCCAGCCUACUCGACGUUUCAUCUUCCCUCUGCUUGGCUAUAAGUAAGUCUAACAGACACCUGAAGAAAAGUAUUAAUUCGUGUGGUCUAUAUUCAAGAAGCACGUCACCUUUUGUCAUGCGAAGAUAAAUUGGAGCUGGAAAUAAGAAGACUGCAAAGGAGAACCACGGUUUAGUGAAUAAUACCCUGCAACAUAUGUUUCUUGUGUUUCUUUCUUUCGUUACUGGUUGAAUAAGUACAUACACGACAGAGCAUCGUCGUAGUGUAGCUUUGUGAACACCCUUGCCUCUUCCCUUCACUUGUCGUGGUCUUCUUUCCUUAUCUGGAAAGCUGUGAUUCAUUUUAAUUACCGCCAAGGGUUCUCCCCCGCGCUCAUUCAGGCUAAAGGGAAGUGAUAAAACAGCGCAUCUUUGUGAGUGUUCUGUUAAUUUCCCUGUCCCUUCCUCACGUCAGCUGGUGUGCACUAAGACGCCAUCUCUCUCCAAUAGCCGUAGCCUGCCGUAGCCUGCUCCUCCCUCCCGUUGAGCGGCGCGGCGUAGGCGAGCCAUCAUCGCAUUAGUAUGCAUCUCUUCUCGGGAGGAUUCUCGUUCACAGUCCGUGUUAACACACUCGCCACUCUUUUGUCUUCACUCUCUCCCUUAUGCUCAUUUGCAUUCCCCUCACCGUGCUCUCCCCUAUUGCUCUAAAUUUAAGGGUUAUGGUAACAAGAAGAGUUAUACACAGGUAUAGAUUACCUUGUCGCUCCUGGUGAGUCGUCUGCUUCAACACCUUGCCCUUCCUUCUGAUGGUUCAGUGACACGUUCUUCCAUCUUGGUAUAAGUGUUAUUUUUACUGUUGUUCAUAUUGUAGAUUUGUUUCAAAUAAAUGUUGCACUUUAAUGGUUUUCAAAGUAAUAUUAGGCAAGUAAUAAAUCUCUGAGAUAAA